UAAGACGAACCGUCCAAACGUUAUUCGGAAUUACUGGGCUUAAAGGGUGCGUAGGCUGUUCGGAAAGUUGGGUGUGAAAUACCUCAGCUUAACUGAGGAACUGCGCUCAAAACUACCGUGCUCGAGGGAGACAGAGGUAAGCGGAACUUAGGGUGGAGCGGUGAAAUGCGUUGAUAUCCUAAGGAACACCGGUGGCGAAAGCGGCUUACUGGGUCUCUUCUGACGCUGAGGCGCGAAAGCUAGGGGAGCAAACGGGAUUAGAUACCCC
rnacentral:rRNA from 1 species